GUGGGUCCCCGAGGUGCGUAGAGCGUCUCGUUUCGCGAGAGCGAGGCAAGACGCAGCCGCAACCUCAACAAGUCAUGCCUUUGAGCAUGAGCAGUCGGUGCCCUUAGCAGGUACCCGACAACAGGAUUUAACUGGAGAGUUUGAUCCUGGCUCAGAACGAACGUUAGCGGCGCGCCUAACACAUGCAAGUCGAGCGAGAAGGAAGCAAUUCCUGUAAAGCGGCGCACGGGUGAGUAACACGUAGGUAAUCUACCUCGAAGUGGUGGAUAACCUUCCGAAAGGAGGGCUAAUACAGCAUGAGACCACGGUUUCGAAAGAGAUUGAGGUCAAAGCGGGCCACUAUACAUAAGCUCGCGCUUCGAGAUGAGCCUGCGGCCCAUCAUGGUAGUUGGUAGGGUAAUGGCCUACCAAGCCGAAGACGGGUAGCUGGUCUGAGAGGAUGAUCAGCCACACUGGAACUGAGACACGGUCCAGACUCCUACGGGAGGCAGCAGUGGG
rnacentral:rRNA from 1 species